rnacentral:rRNA from 1 species
AUUGAACGCUGGCGGCGUGCUUAACACAUGCAAGUCGUGCGGUAACAGGCGUAGCAAUACGUGCUGACGAGCGGCGAACGGGUGCGUAAUACAUGGGAAUCUGCCCUUUAGUGGGGAAUAACCCGGCGAAAGCCGGGCUAAUGCCGCAUAAGAUCUUCGGAUGAAAGCGGGGGAUCGUAAGACCUCGCGCUGAUGGAUGAGCCCAUGUCGGAUUAGCAGUUGGUGAGGUAAAGGCUCACCAAGGCGACGAUCCGUAGCUGGUCUGAGAGGACGGCCAGCCACACUGGGACUGAGACACGGCCCAGACUCCUACGGGAGGCAGCAGUGGGGAAUAUUGGACAAUGGGGAAACCCUGAUCCAGCGACGCCGCGUGUGUGAAGAAGG